rnacentral:lncRNA from 1 species
UUUUCUAGGGAGCGUAGGGAGGCAGAGUUGUGUGAAGCGUACAGGAAGGCAGAGACUCCAGAGGAAGCAGCCAUGGUUUUACAGCGCUACGCUCUUCGCUUCACCAUCAGUGACGCAACCUUGGACAGCCUGAAACUGCCUAGAUCCACCCCCAAACCCAAAGUGGAGCAAACUCAGGUGCUCCAAGAGCACAAACCCACUCAAUCCACUGUUGACUCUGAGACCUCAGACCUUCUGCACAAACCAGAACCAACCAUCACAAUGGACCAGCAGCACAAACCUGAAGAGAUCGGUGGAAAUGCACAAGAGAGAUCAGCUUCCUUUUCCUCCAGCACCCCAGCACUUAACAAUCCCCCUGACACCACCAUCACACACUCACAACACACACCACCUCAAUACCAAGAACCCAAUGAACCUCAAACCCAACACAAAGAGUCUCCAACUACAAACCAACCACCGCUUUCAAAAGAUACACCCCCUCAAGCCAAAGAAGCACCGCCUCAAACUGCACAAACACCGCCUCACUCUGUGGAGCCUGUGCACACACAGCCCUGCACCACUGCACCCUCCAGACCCGUCCCGCUGCUCACAGCCAAGCCCUACUGUCAGCCCAGGAACACACACUCGGGACACAAAUCUGUCAAGCUGGAUGGGCUGGUGCGUGUUAACGGGGAGGUGACAGAGGAGACGCCCGUGUCCCCAUGUCCCUCUUCUCCUCUGCGCCUCCCAGAGGGCGACAUAGAUGCUCCCUCUGAGCUGCUAACGACAACAAGUCAGACAACAGCGGAGCAGUCACCACGCCCGCACACGGAGAAAGGGACCGCAUCGUCAGGCUCGGCCAUCAGCUCCCUGAUCGGAGGCCGAAACUGCAUCAUCACAACAACGAUUGUGACAGAGCUCACGCAGACUCACGUGGAGCCACUCCCCUUGGAGAUCCAUAGCAACGGACAGGUCAAUGGCACCUUGGGGUUGUUAAGGAGCCCAGCGGAGGAGACAGAGGCUGUGACAGUGACAUCGCCCAACAACAUCCUGGCGUAUUCUCCCACCGUCACAGGUAACUUUACUCUGAAUACCUCUCUUUUCAAUUUGUUCCCUGAUAUCUGCAUUUUGUCCAUAUAAAUGUUCAGAUGUGA